CCCUUAGAUGUUCUGGGCCACACGCGCGUUACACUGAUGAAGCCAGCGAGUAUAUCGCCUUCACCGGAAGGUGCGGGUAAUCUUGUGAAACUUCAUCGUGCUGGGGAUAGACCAUUGCAAUUACUGGUCUUGAACGAGGAAUUCCUAGUAAGCAUGAGUCAUCAACUCGUGCUGAUUACGUCCCUGCCCUUUGUACACACCGCCCGUCGCUACUACCGAUUGAAUGGUUUAGUGAGAUCUCGGGAUUGGAGACGUUGCGCCGCAAGGCACAUCGGCCUCGAGAACUUGAUCAAACUUGAUCAUUUAGAGGAAGUAAAAGUCGUAACA
rnacentral:rRNA from 1 species